rnacentral:rRNA from 1 species
AGGACGAACGCUGGCGGCGUGCUUAACACAUGCAAGUGGAGCGACGAACCAGGGCUUGCCCUGGGGCAGAGCCGCGAACGGGUGAGUAACACGUGGGUUACCUGCCUUGAUGACUGGGACAACCCGAGGAAACUCGGGCUAAUACCGGAUGUGCCCGCAAGGGGAAAGGAAGCUUCGGCCUCCGCAUCAAGAUGGGCCCGCGGCCCAUUAGCUUGUUGGUGAGGUAACGGCUCACCAAGGCUUCGAUGGGUAGCUGGUCUGAGAGGACGAUCAGCCACACUGGGACUGAGACACGGCCCAGACUCCUACGGGAGGCAGCAGUGGGGAAUCUUGCGCAAUGCGCGAAAGCGUGACGCAGCAACGCCGCGUGGGGGAAGACGGCUUUCGGGUUGUAAACCCCUUUCAGUUGGGACGAAGCUUCUCCGGUGAAUAGCCGGACGGAGUGACGGUACCUUCACAAGAAGCACCGGCUAACUACGUGCCAGCAGCCGC